GAAACUUGCCGGCUUGGAACGUCACAGCCAUGCCUCGCCACGCCUCCAGAUGGCAACUCUCUGGAAGAGGAGCUGUUGCGCGCGCCAAAAAUUACGGAAGCGCACUUCACUGGCGAGGAAUGAUACUGGAGCGAAUGUGCAUGGGACCUCUUUGAAAUUUCUAUAAUAAAGACGGAAUGAAUGUUAAAUUUAAAGUGGAACAAAUGCCACGACUCGUUUAGCGCGAGAAGCUAGCAACGUUAUUUUAAAAAUAGUGCAACAACUCGAAAAGCUGUGGUGAAAGCGGAAUCUGGUUCUUUAAAAGGGCAAUUACUUGUUGCUUGUCGCUUACUUGUUGCCAUUGGCAUCUGAGGGACCUGGUUGAUCACAUUUCACUGAUGCAGACUCCAUAGCAACUAAAAGAUAAUACCUUCAGCUUUGUGGUAAACAGGCUCAUGGCUGCAUUACCGGUUUCUUAGAAGUUCAUUUAAGGGAUCAAUUUUAAAUGGAAGUCAUACAUUUGGAGACAUUAUGGACAUUCUAAUCGCAUUUUAAAGAAUGCAAAGGUAUUAUGCAAGCAUAUAUUGUAUACCCUGAAUGGAUAAAUAUAAAUUUUAUAUUUUUAAAUAUGCGCAUGUAGUACAUGAGUGACAAAAAAACAUAAUAUUUCAGAAUGUCACUUAAUCCAUUUCAGAGUUGCAAGGAGGUAGAGCCUGCAAUGCCAUGUCCACUCAUGCCCAUACCCACAGGGUUAAUUUAGAAUUGGCAAUUAACCUAACACGCACAUUAUUUGGGGUAAGGGAGAAAUAAUGUAACCAAAGGAAAACUCAUGCAGAUAUGUUUAAAUAAUGAAAACUCCACACAGACAAUGACUUCAUGUGGAACUCUAGAUCUGUGAGACAAAGUAGGAGUGAGAGAUAUGUCAGAUGAAAUUCUUCUUCUAGUACAGAUUUUGGAGAAGAAAAACAACAGCUUUACUGGAAUGCUAAAAAUUUGUGGAAAACUUAAACACAUUUAAAUGCAAAACAUUAAACAAGCAAAUCUCUUAUGCAAACAGAAAUGGGAAAUGAGAUUCUCUGUUAGCGUAUAAAUGUUGUAGGUGGCACACAGGAUGAACGGGCAUCCUGGUCAGGAACCAGGAAGAUGCCUUACUUUGAUGUGAGGCCCCAAGGGAAUGUAAAGGCAUCCCAGUCAAGAGAGUGAAGGAUGGACUAGGUGGCCCCAAUAGGUGGACGGACAUCCCAAACAGAACUGAUGAUUCCUUUUCCGGGUGGGAAGCCCCAAAUAAAUGGAUAAACAUCCCUACUGGACAUGGACUUAAUACCUUCCCUGGUCAUGAGAAAAGAAGAGGACAGGGAAGAACUGUCUUUUAAGGACAUUUAAUCCCCCCAGGCAUUAGAUUGCAGAAACUGUCCAUAUCAGCGCCCAUUCACGAACCAUCAGGAAAUACUGGGAGUUGGAGUUUGGCAGCACAGCCUUGCUGGGGUACAUGGGUGCUGCAAGGGGCCACUGCAGGGUGGUGUGCUCCCCAAUUUAUGGGAAUUAUUGUGUGACUCAGAAGUGCUUCCAUUGGGCAGAGGCCCUGGCACCGAAAGUACUCCUGGGUCCUUAGUAAAAGGGGCCACACUCCCUUGUCCAGGUAAAUUGGGGCUGGAAGGAAGGAAGGCAACACUCGACUGGAAGAGGGCGGUGUGGUGGUGAGAGGAGAGGAAUUGUGUGAUGAUUAUCAAGAGGAAAAACCUUUGCUUAGUGCUUUUCUUACUUUUGGAGGUAUUUUAUAAUAAACCAUCCAUUAUUUGAACCUGG